rnacentral:tRNA from 1 species
AGGCACGCAGACGCUGAGGUGCCUCAGAACUGCAGUCAACUAUAUGGCACGACUGUUCGGAGUAGCAGCAGGGAAAGUAGCGAGAGAAACCCUCUAUAGAGGUGCGGUGCUAGAAGCGGAGACGCACAGGAAGUGGAAGACCGGUGCCACCGUCGCCCCCGCAUGAUGUCACGGCAGUGGUGCAAGGUUGAUGCGGUCUUCCUUCUUUCGCUAGAGGGCACAUGUGGACAAGCUCUAGCACAUGCAAGUCCAAGGAUGGUUGCGGGCCGUCAUUCACUUCCUUGCCGCGCUUAUCAAGGGCCCGGAUGCGGCAACUUCGACGGUACCGAAAGUGAGAUUGGAUUGUGGCUUCAGUGAGCUGAUGGAGGUGUAGAGGCGGACGUUUCGCUUCCCGCUUGUGUACACGGCUACUGUGUGGUGCCGGUUCACAGCGAAGCAGCCUCAGGUACACAUUACCCGCAACCUUUGGUCGGGGCCACGUCUUGCCCCUGGGCGCCCCUGUAUUGCCACGAUGGGGUCAGUUCUAGCCGGACGAAAACGAUCAGCUCUGCGAACACGCAGAGCGCGUUUCCGCCCUCGUCGUCCUUCUUUGUCGUCGUGCUCUGCGACACGGCUGCGUGUGAUGCGAGUUAGGAAGCGGUUCCCAUCGAUGUGUCUCUCUUUCUCUCUCCAUUUCGCUGGGAUUGCCGACCAAGAGGUGUUGCGCCUUACAUGACUUUUUUUCUUUGGUCAUCCGCGGUGCAAUCGGGCAGGGGGGGGGGCGAUGCAUGAUUCGCCCUUGUUCGCGGCAAGGAGGAGGUGGAAGGGCCGUUAGACUUGCUUACAGGUGUCCCCGGGAAGUCGAAUUCAGCGAACUGCUGCACUACUGAUAGGAGACGUUUAUCCUCCAGAUCUGAAAGCGCUGGCUUACACUGCUUGAGAGGUGAAGGUCGAAUUACGCAGCAGAGGCACUAACGGUCCGAAGAUCCUGGCAGCCCUCUCCGCGCCGAGGGGCAGAACUAGCCGCAAGAACCCUCAAAGAGCUCUGAAGGCAGGGCUGCCCGUCGGGUGGCCGGUAGAGGGACAAGACAAUGAGGUGCUCACAGGGGUGGAAGCUUGCCACGCGGGAAGACGACACGCCACCGAGCUGCCCUUCCCUCUGCCAGAGUGCACGCCAAUGCAGCUGUAUUGCGCGUGCAGUCGACUGACCACGCUCACGGACGACCUGACCGGAGGAGGGCUGUACCGCCAAGUCAGCACUGCGGAGAGAAGCGACUGCUGCAUACCCCUGCACACGCGACAUCGCUGGCCAGCCGGUAUCCCCGCAUGGGGGUCGACUCGCAGCAAGGCACGGCAGCGUACUUUUGGCUUCGCCUCCGUCCGUCAUCGUGGGGGCCGGACGUACGCAAGACCUUCUCGAGGAUCGCGGCACAGCGGUUUCUGACCUUCGUCAGGUGCAUGGCGCAGCAACGCCUCGGCGCUGACUGCGGGGGCUUCUCAUGUUGAUCUAUGUAUUCGCAGACGCAUCAGAUGAAGCGGUAUGGCGGCCCCCAAGACCGCACCCAUGCCGCUUGCGCCCCAGUCUUCCACAGGGACACAGCGAAAGGCGGUCUGGGGAGGCGAGGCUUCCGUGCACGGCUACGUGGGCUCUUCCGUAACUGCAAAACCAAACAGACGCCUCCACAAAGGGCAGGGGGCCAUCUCCCCCCCCCUUUCCUUAUCACGGGCGGCGGGCUUGACGCUGAGGAGAACGUCCCGCUCGAGGCAUCCGAGGCAACUCAUGGCUGAGCGUCUCGAGGAGGAGGUGGACGAACGGACUUGCGUGACAAUGAAACACGCAGCCUAAUAUUGAAAGCCCUCGAUCAGCACACACCAAACAGGAAUGCUUAAGAUGGUCCUGCAUCGGAGGUGCAUGGGGGUACAUAUCCCACUGACAGUCGGUGCGCUCAGCAAGCGAAAGCAACGCAUGCGCAUCACCGCAAGCGACCCAGCUGCGCUUCUCGGCCCUCUUUCUCCAGCGUGCAUCGGUUCAGGGCAGAGGUGGCCGAAGAAGGUGCGGCGGCCAGGCCCCACGACGAGCCUGGCAUCCUGCACCGAGUAGAUGGCAGGCAGCUACCGAAGAGACUUGGAGUCACCAGGCACGUCAUGGGCACCGGGGAGGAAGUGUACAACACACCCAGCACACCACAGAAGCGCUGUGUCACAGCACCGUCAACCGAAACAGCAACAGAAGCCACCCUCAUGGCACGACGCACCGACUACAAACUCUUGGCCCGAGCAGCGGAUCCACAAGUCAGGCGAACAUAUCGGGCGGCGUUCAGUUCUUGGAGGAGGACGAGGUGCCUGCUCUAUACAGGAGAGGGCAGUCGUCGACGUGAGUACGUCUGUCCGAAGCACCGGCAGGUGCACAAGCGAAAGUCCGCGACGGUGUCCCAGGUAGCAUGGGACAAGGUCUUGGUGCAUACCCGGAAGCGGCGCAUUUGGGCACUGGAGGACCCGUCCACGAUGCCACGAGAUCUCGAGGCUCUUGAGCUGGCCGCCGCAGUGAUGUGGCUAGUCCACAAGGAAGCCGAGGAGAGACUGGAAGAGCUUGCAGCAGGACCACAGCGGUACGCCAAGUGGAAAAUGGUCGCCUUCCGUUGACUUCAAUCCCGUGAUGUUCAGGUACCGCGGCCGCUUAGUCUAGUGGUAUGAUUCCCGCUUCGGGUGCGGGAGGUCAGGGGUUCAAUUCCCCUAGCGGCCCAUCUUUUCUCCGUCGGCGGCAGAGAAACCGCCGCGCAUCAUCCCGGCCCGCCUAUAUCGCGAGGCGCGUGGCCCGAUUCGGCAGCGGACGGUUCGUCCGAGACGACCAGGAUGUGGCCGUGGAGUGGCAGCAGCGGUGGGCGCGCUGUGGUUGCGUGUGUGCGUCCGUUGGAUGAGCUGUGCGCAGUGACAAGGUAUACGCAUAGAAAAGCCGCGGAAAGCAGCAGCAGCCAAGCCCCACCUCCCUCGUAGGGGAAACCAAGACGGGGACUCGAUCAUCGCAGCGCCACAAUGGG